CUCCAACCGAUUCAAAUCUUCAUGUUGCUACCAAAAAUUCAAGAAACAUACGGCUUGCAAAAUAUGGCUACUCAAAGUGAUUUAGUUAAUGAUAUAAUAAUUUCGCAAAUGCAAUGAAAGUUGAAAGUUCGGAUUGUUCGUCUGUGAAAAAUACCAGAUCGUUACAAUUGAGAUGCUACUUUCUCGAUUGAAUCAGUUCUGCAAGAUGAAAAGGAUCCCGACUUCAAUACUAUUGAAGGCGUAGAUGAAGCGAUGGAAUGCGAGGUAAAUACAUCGCUUACUUUUAAUUUGUCCUUAUGAUGACACUUAUUUUAUUUAUACAUGGAUAGCUAUAGUUGAUAAUAAGAUGCUAAUCUUGGAGCACUCAUGUUCUUAUC